AAAACUGGCUUCUAGGGUUCCGGUCCCGCUCCUGUGGUGGGACGGCUGGUCCGAGAGAAGCAGCCGGUCCGACAGCAGGGCCGGUCACACGGCGGGAGAAAAGCCCGGGAGAG
rnacentral:sRNA from 2 species